GAUCCCGUGGCGCAAUGGUAGCGUGUGAGAUUCCAGUACUGGAACUUCCUCAAGGUUAUCCGUUCGAGUCGGGUCGGGGUCA
rnacentral:tRNA from 1 species